UACGGGGGGGGCAAGCGUUGUUCGGAAUUACUGGGCGUAAAGGGCUCGUAGGCGGCCAACUAAGUCGGAUGUGAAAUCCCCAGGCUUAACCUGGGAACUGCAUCCGAUACUGGAUGGCUUGAAUCCGGGAGAGGGAUGCAGAAUUCCAGGUGUAGCGGUGAAAUGCGUAGAUAUCUGGAGGAAUACCGGUGGCGAAGGCGGCUCACUGGCCCGGUACUGACGCUGAGGUGCGAAAGCGUGGGGAGCAAACAGG
rnacentral:rRNA from 2 species